GCCCUUUAGCCAAGUGGGAAGGCAGCGGGAUUUGACCCCGCCACGAGGUGGUUCGAUCCCACCAAGGGCCGCCA
rnacentral:tRNA from 1 species